GUGGCUGCUAGGGCUUGGGCCCUCACAUCGUCUCCUGAGAGAGAUGGCUAUCAAGGAGAGGAGCCUCUGUUCCCCAACCCCUUUCCCCUACCCUGGUGCCCCCUGGCUUCUCAGCCUCUGGCCACAGCUGGGCCCCAUGCCAACCCUAGGGUGCUGAUAUAAAGAAAGGGAAGGUCCAGGGCCAGGAGUUGUCACCCUACCAGCCUCCGUCCCCACCAGCAAAAAGUGGCUUUCACCGCUACCAGUUCUUCGUCUAUCUUCAGGAAAGACAGAACAUCUCUCUCCAUUCCAAAGAAAACAAAAC